UCCGAUGUGGUGUAUCGGCUAGCAUCGUCCGCUUUCAUUACGAGGAAAGCUGGCUCGCAAGGGCUUCCAAUCUCUCUCGAGUCUUCCGGACAGAGCCGGGUUCGACUCCCGGCAUCGGAA